CAAAAGUACUAGGGAAUGACCUAGGUACUUCACCCAUGUUUUUUACGCACCCAAAGUUUCCUUGGCGGCUUCGUCCGCCAGUUGGACAACAAUCAAACCCUUGUAGUUGCAGUCAGCGUCGAAUAAACUUAAUAAUUAAAACUUUCAACAACGGAUCUCUUGGUUCU
rnacentral:misc_RNA from 1 species